UAACGAAUCUUCCGCAAUGCACGCAAGUGUGACGGAGCAAUGCCGCGUGUGGGAUGAAGCGGUUACGCCGUGUAAACCACUGUCAGGGUCUAGGAAGAACUGACCAGACCCAGAGGAAGGGCCGGCUAAUCUCGUGCCAGCAGCCGCGGUAAUACGAGAGGCCCGAGCGUUAGGCGGAAUCACUGGGCUUAAAGGGUGCGUAGGCGGAUUGGUAAGCAUCUCGUGAAAUGCCUCGGCUCAACCGAGGAAUUGCGGGGUGAACUGCUUGUCUUGAGGAAGGCAGAGGUUGUCGGAACGUUCGGUGGAGCGGUGAAAUGCGUAGAUAUCGAACGGAACGCCGAAGGGGUAGCCAGGCAACUGGGCCUUUCCUGACGCUGAGGCACGAAAGCGUGGGGAUCAAACA
rnacentral:rRNA from 1 species